UGAGUGCCAGAGCCAGGGCUGUCUGUAGCGGAGUUUUGGGCUGUGCUACAAGGCUCAAUUCCCCAGAGCCAUACAGGUGUCCCUCAGCCACACGUCUCCGGCUGGUGGGGACCUUGUGUGCUGGCAGGCAGCGGCUGGGCAGCAGGCGAGGUCCACCAGCUGUGCAGCUGCUGCAUCCUGCACUGCCUCCGUGGGAAAUGCGCGAGUGAUGGGGCUGGUGUGUGGCAGUUGUGUCUGCCUGUGGGUCUGGCGGAAGAACUCUCGCUUUGCCCCUUGCCCACUUUGACCGUGUCUCUCUGGGACUUGCAGGACUUGCUGAAGAAGUAUUGCUUGGGCACCCCUGUCUCCCCAGUGCCCCUCAAGGUGGUUCUGGCCCUGGAGCAGUUGAGGUAAGGGUGGGAGCCUCUGGGGUUGCAAGGCAGGAUGGUGGAUCCCCUUCUGGGUAGCUCCCGAAGGCCUGGAGGGGGCAGAGGGUCGGGAGUCACUUCUACAGGAGAGAUGGCUGGGCUGCUGUGCCCAGCGAAGCUGAGGUUCUGGGAGGGAGAAAGGCCCUGGUGCUCCUGUCCCCUGGCACGGGAGAGAAGGGAGACUCGGUGUCUCCUUCCCUUCAGAGCAGGAGGUGGUUCACUGAUGCCGGGGAGGAGGUGGGUGAUGCUGGAACUGAAGACAGUGCUCAGCAGCUCAGGCUGGGGAUGUUGGCUUUGCAGCUGUUCCGUUAGAAGAAACUCUGAUGUUGUCUGAACCAGCCUGGAGAGCACUGCUAAAGGCCCUGUCUGCUUUCUCUUCCUUUUUUUGUCCUUUUUUGGUUCAGCAAGCUGAAGCCAUCUGUAGGAAGCAAAGACAUGUGUGACAUGCUGAGUCUGUGCUGCAAGACUAUUGUGACACACCCUUCAGCGGAGAUGAUGCUGAAGAUCAGGAAGUCACAGCAAGCAGCUCAGUACCUGCAGCUUCUGCAAACGUCACUGAAAGCUCUGGGCCGGCUCAUGGUGGUCCUGCUCGAGACAGAGACCACCAGUGGCUUCUUCCAGAACACAGUCCAUGUGAGUACAUGUGGGUCAAGGGAGGAAGCAAGCAUGGUGCCUGUCGAUAGCGGAGACAGAGAUGUGGGGACUGAGAGGACAACGAGAGGGGAUCUCUUGCUGACGUGCCAGCUCACUGCAAGCUCAGAAAUGGGCAGAGCAAUGGGCCCUGCAGGGGAAAAGGCAGGAGCCAGCCCCUGGCAGGCCACAGCCAAGGAAAAGCUGCUGGGUUAGGAGGCCGGAGUGUCUGCAGAGAGCAGGGGCAGCAGUGCGGGUGCUCAGCGAGGUGGGGGGCUGCGUGGAGCCACAGGGCAGGCCCUGAGGGAAAGUGCUGGGAAAUGAGGGACUGGGAGAGGGCUGGCAUGAAGGGAAAGAAAAGAUGUCCACAGUGAUACGGAUGCUCUGUCCCACGUCCUGCAGAGAUCAAUGACGUCAGGCAACAUGUGGGAGCGCAAGAGGGCCCUGCAGACUGCUCCCAGCUGCUGGCUGCUUGUGAAGAGCGUGGAGUGAGUAAAGAGCCCCACCACAUGCCCCUGCUCCCUCCCCAGUGCCCCUGAGCUGGCAGGCGAGCUCCACUCAGCUGUGCGUGCUGUGACACCCACCCCGUGGGGAAGGCACAGGCGGGAGAAGCUAGGGAGAGCUGGGGCUGCCUACAGCUUUUUUCCUGCCUCUCAUCCCUGCAGAGAGGAGACGCCUGCAAGCACUUUGGCUCCUUGGUGGGAUUGCUGGCGCCUCUGACGUGUGACCCCAUGCCCACCUCCCGCCAGUUGGCUGUCACCUGUCUGAGCUCCCUUCUCCGAAUCCAAGGUGAGUAGAGCGGGCGUGCGCCGGCCCUCUGCUCUCCUCCUCAGCACUACCAGAACCCCACGGGCUGGGCCCAGUUUACAGGAGGGAGAGGCACCGUGCGCAGCUCUCUUCUCCUCUCCACCCUGGCCUCUGUCUCUCCCCUGUGGAAAGCGGUUCCGUUUCCAGAAGCAUGACUUCCCUUUUCUCCCCGUGCUCUUUCCAGCCAAGGCGACCAACAGAGUCAUCCAGACAGGAGACAUCGGGAGCCUGUGUGAGGGGCUGAAUGACCGCAGCACCGUCUGUCAGCUCCAGACCUCGUCCAAAAUCGCGCGGGUAAGUGGACCCAAAAAGGGGUGGUGCGAUCUCAGUGCGUAGGCUUUUGCACGUCCCUCUGCUGCCCCCAGCCUCUCACACCGUUUCUAGAAUGAGCUGUCACCCUGAGAUCACUUCUCUCAGCAAGUAGCAGGAGGCACUGAGCUAUGUCUGGCCUUAAGGCACCCCACGCAAGGUGCUGAUUCUAUGUCGUGUGUGUGUGUGUGUGCGGUGUGACUGUGGCUGCUGGGAGGUAGGCUUUGCAUGUAAGCAAACAGCAUGGGUGGAGAAGCUGAGAGAAGGCUCAACCACCUUACGUAUAAACAGCACAGUAAGGACAGCAGGAGCGUUGUGAUUGCCACCUGAAUGACUGGCAAGCUGCUGAACUAAGAAUGCCCUCAAGACUGCUUUAUGUUUGGAAGAGCUGCUGCAGAGCAGUGAUGGGAUCUCUCCUGCUUCUCAUUUCUCUGCAGAUUGUGUGCAGAAGCUUCUCCCUGGAACACACCAUAGAUUUCAUGAUGGCCGUCAAGGACACCUUCCGGAAGGCCAAAGGAAUGCGUGUGCGUGCUGCUGGGAAGUGGAUGAUCACCUUUCUGCAGAUGCACGGAAAGGACAUCUGUCGGGAUGUAAGAGACUUUCUUCCACGAGCCUUGGACUUUUGUUGGCUGUUGCACUACACCUUGUGCCGUUUGCCUCUUGCGCUAAAGAAGCACAGCCUGAGCGCAGAGCCAGGGCUUGGACAGGGUGACCGGUGUGAAAUGUAGGCUUAGGCCUUGGCGGCAUGUCAAGGGAGCAGGCACCGUUCAUGUGCUGAAUGUCCACGAUUAGGUCCUGCAGAGUCAAGGAUGCAGCAAGUCAUUCUUUCUCCCCUUCUUCUUUCAGCUUGACCUUUCACCGAUCGUCUACAUCCUGCGCAGCUGCAUGUCGUCCCUGCAGCACAGCACGAACAUGCCAUUCCUGUGCCAGGCGGCGGCCAUCCUCACCCGCUGUCACGCAGACGUCACAAUUGACAGCUUCUUCCACAGGCGUUGAGCCCACAGACAGGUACUGGCACUCCUGCCUUUGCUAUUGUGCGGUCCCCAGUUGUAUCUGUCUGUAUGAGUUGAAAAUUACUCAGUCAUGACUUGAAAC
rnacentral:lncRNA from 7 species